rnacentral:ribozyme from 1 species
AGAAAGAGAGAAAGAGAAAGAGGAAGAAAGGUAUAAUUUUACUUUCAUUUUUAUAAUUUCGGUCAUUGUCAUUUAUAAUAUUUGUCUAUU